GACGAACGCUGGCGGCGUGCCUAAUACAUGCAAGUCGAACGCAGUGGGGACGGGUGAGUAACACGUGGGUAACCUCCCAUCAGAGGGGAUAACACUUGGAAACAGGUGCUAAACCGAUACUGAUGGAUGGACCCGCGGUGGAUGAGCUAGUGGGUGAGGUAACGGCUUACCAGGGCCACGAUGCAUAGCCGGCCUGAGAGGGUGAUCGGCCACACGGGGAAUGAGACACGGCCCAGACUCCUACGGGAGGCAGCAGUAGGGAAUCUUCGGCAAUGGACGAAAGUCUGACCGAGCAACGCCGCGUGAGUGAAGAAGGUUUUCGGGUCGUAAAGCUCUGUUGUUAGAGAAGCGGUAUCUAACCAGAAAGCCACGGCUAACUACGUGCCAGCAGCCGCGGUAAUAC
rnacentral:rRNA from 1 species